GGGCGAUAAGUAUUAUUAGUAUGGCUUGCUUACACCAAGCAGGGGGGGGUCUUCCCCAUCGCUUA
rnacentral:tRNA from 1 species